AGUGCUUCUCGGCCUUUUGGCUAAGAUCAAGUGUAGUAUCUGUUCUUAUCAGUUUAAUGCUGGUGGCAGGGGACGCCAGUAUGGGGCUGGUGGGGAUCUGUGCUGCAUGGUAGGGAGCAAGUGUACCGGGGCGUUCCGGGGCAGCCCGACGGCUGUCCUGAUGUGACCUGUUACCUCCAGGUCUCACCAUGA